rnacentral:rRNA from 1 species
UACGUAGGGUGCAAGCGUUGUCCGGAAUUAUUGGGCGUAAAGAGCUCGUAGGCGGUUUGUCGCGUCUGCUGUGAAAACUCGGGGCUUAACCCCGGGCCUGCAGUGGGUACGGGCAGACUAGAGUGCGGUAGGGGAGACUGGAAUUCCUGGUGUAGCGGUGAAAUGCGUAGAUAUCGAGAGGAACACCUGCGGCGAAGGCGGGUUGCUGGGCUGACACUGACGCUGAGGCGCGAAAGCUAGGGGAGCGAACGGG